CAAGGACCCGGUGAGAGCCCGGGUGGCUCUUCCGGCCGCUGAUCCGCCGGACAACC
rfam:Salipiger mucosus DSM 16094 genomic scaffold scaffold2, whole genome shotgun sequence.